GGGAAUGCGGCUUAGUGCUAGAGCACUGGCUUAGCUAGCCUAAAGUCCUGGGUUCAAUUCCCACCUCUUCAA
rnacentral:tRNA from 1 species